GACGAACGCUGGCGGCGUGCUUAACACAUGCAAGUCGAACGGAAAGGCCCUGCUUUUGUGGGGUGCUCGAGUGGCGAACGGGUGAGUAACACGUGAGUAACCUGCCCUUGACUUUGGGAUAACUUCAGGAAACUGGGGCUAAUACCGGAUAGGAGCUCCUGCUGCAUGGUGGGGGUUGGAAAGUUUCGGCGGUUGGGGAUGGACUCGCGGCUUAUCAGCUUGUUGGUGGGGUAGUGGCUUACCAAGGCUUUGACGGGUAGCCGGCCUGUGAGGGUGACCGGCCACAUUGGGACUGAGAUACGGACCAGACUCCUACGGGAGGCAGCAGUGGGGAAUAUUGCACAAUGGGCGGAAGCCUGAUGCAGCAACGCCGCGUGCGGGAUGACGGCCUUCGGGUUGUAAACCGCUUUCGCCUGUGACGAAGCGUGAGUGACGGUAAUGGGUAAAGAAGCACCGGCUAACUACGUG
rnacentral:rRNA from 1 species